rnacentral:rRNA from 1 species
UACGGAGGGGGCGAGCGUUAUUCGGAAUUAUUGGGCGUAAAGGGCGCGUAGGCGGCCCGGUAAGUCAAAGGUGAAAUCCCUCGGCUCAACUGAGGAACUGCCUUUGAAACUGUCGGGCUUGAGGCCGGGAGGGGGUAGCGGAAUUCCCAGUGUAGCGGUGAAAUGCGUAGAUAUUGGGAGGAACACCGGUGGCGAAGGCGGCUACCUGGACCGGUUCUGACGCUGAUGCGCGAAAGCGGUGGGAUAGCAACAGG